rnacentral:rRNA from 1 species
UAGGGAAUCUUCCACAAUGGACGCAAGUCUGAUGGAGCAACGCCGCGUGAGUGAAGAAGGUUUUCGGACCGUAAAGCUCUGUUGUUGGUGAAGAAGGAUAGAGGUAGUAACUGGCCUUUAUUUGACGGUAAUCAACCAGAAAGUCACGGCUAACUACGUGCCAGCAGCCGCGGUAAUACGUAGGUGGCAAGCGUUGUCCGGAUUUAUUGGGCGUAAAGCGAGCGCAGGCGG